UACGAAGGGGGCUAGCGUUGUUCGGAUUUACUGGGCGUAAAGCGCACGUAGGCGGAUCGUUAAGUCGGGGGUGAAAUCCUGGAGCUCAACUCCAGAACUGCCUUCGAUACUGGCGAUCUCGAGUCCGGAAGGGGUGAGUGGAACUCCUAGUGUAGAGGUGGAAUUCGUAGAUAUUAGGAAGAACACCAGUGGCGAAGGCGGCUCACUGGUCCGGUACUGACGCUGAGGUGCGAAAGCGUGGGGAGCAAACAGG
rnacentral:rRNA from 1 species